rnacentral:sRNA from 1 species
UCUCAGGGGUGAAGAAAAGUUUGUUGAGUCGAGUCAAUGUGAAUGAGAAAAGAUUGUCAGUAUGUGCUAAGUCCCUGGCAGAAGGACAGGACUUGGUCAGGAAGUAUUGGAGAAUAUUGAAAGAAAAUGGUUUGACAGGAGAUGACAGACCAAACAUCAUUCCAAAUGGCUAUCAGACCUUUUUAAAACAAGCGAUUGCUGG